rnacentral:rRNA from 1 species
GACGAACGCUGGCGGCGUGCUUAACACAUGCAAGUCGAACGGCAAGGCCCUGCUUGUGUGGGGUGCUCGAGUGGCGAACGGGUGAGGAACACGUGAGUAUCCUGCCCUUGACCUUGGGAUAACUUUAGGAGACUGGGGCUAAUACCGGAUAGGAGCUCCUGCUGCAUGGUGGGGGUGGGAAAGUUUCGGCGGUUGGGGAUGGACUCGCGGCUUAUCAGCCUGUUGGUGGGGUAGUGGCUUACCAAGGCUUCGACGGGUAGCCGGCCUGAGAGGGUGACCGGGCCCAUUGGCACUCAGAUACGGCCCGGAGUCGUACGGGAGGCAGGAGUGGGGGAUAUUGCACGAUGGGCGGAAGCCUGAUGCAGCAACACCGCGUGCGGGAUGACGGCCUUCGGGUUGUAGACCACUUUCGCCUGUGACGAUGCGUGAGUGACGGUAAUGGGUAAAGAAGCACCGGCUAACUACGUG